rnacentral:rRNA from 1 species
UGGGGAAUAUUGGGCAAUGGAGGCAACUCUGACCCAGCAACGCCGCGUGAGGGAAGAAGGUUUUCGGAUUGUAAACCUCUGUCCUAGGGGACGAAGAAAGUGACGGUACCCUAGGAGGAAGCCCCGGCUAACUACGUGCCAGCAGCCGCGGUAAUACGUAGGGGGCGAGCGUUGUCCGGAAUUACUGGGCGUAAAGGGUGCGUAGGCGGUUUGGUAAGUUAGAUGUGAAAUCCCCGGGCUUAACUCGGGAGUUGCAUUUAAAACUGCUGAACUAGAGUGCAGGAGAGGAAAGCGGAAUUCCUAGUGUAGCGGUGAAAUGCGUAGAUAUCCGGAGGAACACCAGUGGCGAAAGCGGCCUCCUGGACCACUCCUGACACUCAGACGCGAAAGCUAGGGUAGCAAACG